rnacentral:rRNA from 1 species
AUACGUAUGGGGCGAGCGUUGUCCGGAAUGAUUGGGCGUAAAGGGUACGUAGGCGGUUAAUUAAGUCGAGUGUGAAAGGUUGGGGCUCAACCCCAUAAAGCAUUAGAAACUGGUUAACUUGAGAUGUGGAGAGGGAAGUGGAAUUCCUAGUGUAGCGGUGACAUGCGUAGAUAUUAGGAGGAAUACCAGUAGCGAAGGCGACUUUCGGGACACAUACUGACGCGGAGGUACGAAAGCGUGGGGAGCAAACAGGAUUAGAUCCCCUGGUAGUCCACGCCGUAAACGAUGAAUGCUAGGUGUCGGGGGUCAAACCUCGGUGCCGCCGCUAACGCAUUAAGCAUUCCGCCUGGGGAGUACGCACGCAAGUGUGAAACUCAAAGGAAUUGACGGGG